CUCAAUCGGUUGGAGGACAAGCAGUUCCGCUGCCAUCCACCAGUCCCGCCCCUUCCUUGCUAUUGGUCGUGUGACGUCAUCAAACCGGCGUGUAGCUAUAGAGCAUGCGCACAGCUAAUUGUGGAUUGUAUCAGAGAUAGUCGGAACUGCAGAAUCUGAGAUAAUAAGGUGUAGAGCUGGGUGAACACAGCAGGCCAAGCAGCAAAACUGACGUUUCGGGACUAGAUUCUUCUUCAGAAAUAAUUGCGUGCCGGCAGCGACGGAAGGAAUGAAAACCAAAAAAACUGCGGAUGCUGUAAAUCAGGAACAAAAACAAAGCUGCUGGAAUAGCUCAGCAGGUCUGGCAGCAUCUGUCGAUGAGAAAACAGAGUGAACGUUUCGGGUUCGGUGACCCUUCCUCAGAAAUUCUGCUGACCUUUUCCAGUCUUUCAUGACAUCCACAAAUGAACAUUCAACAAUUUGAGAACUGGAUAGAAAACGAGAGACAGAGCAGCCACUCCAGAAGCUUCCAAAAUCAGUCUGCACCUUGACCUUCUUGAAUGGUUGCACUCGGAGUGCUGAAGUUGCUCCCAGAUUGCUGUCUGGCGAUCAGAAGUGGACACAUUACCCCAGAAGGCGCCUCACUGAUGUUCUGUACAAGCUCAACAUAACAUCCCAACUCCUCUCAAACGUCUGAGCAAUGAAGGUA